UGUUCGCUUUGUACGCUUGCGGACGUCGUCGAGUGGAGUGAAGUGUAUUCGAAAUCAGUACCAACAAUAGAACUUACCCUCGGACAGAGGAGGGCACUAGUGUGGUGUCGUCGCUUUUGUGUCGGGGGAACACUUCAUCGAACUGGCGGCAACCAUUCAGUGUGCGUAGAUUCAGACCCACACGUGACCGACAGUCUCGCUGGCAGGACGAACUAACGUAAUGUGAUAGUGACUGAUGACGGUUCGCGGGAGAAUUCUGAGCAAUGUACAGAUCUUAAAGAGAAUGUACGAGUGUUUUCAGUGAGGGAGGGGCUAGAAAAGAACACUUUUUCGUUCAAACACAUUCUAACUAGUGGUGGAAUAGUGCGUAGAAUUUCACGGAAGGUGAUGUGAAUGUUAAGUGUUAAGCGAUUGUGAUUGUGACCCACAGUCGGCGGAAAAUUUAUGGCACGAUAAGCAUUUGAAGAAAUAAGGAUUUCUAUUCCGUUGUUCUAGGGUUUAGAAUAUGGUCUUCAGCCGGUUGUGUGGAUCUAGCGAAACAGUGUAUUUUCUCGUAGAUUGACGGCUCUGCCUGGUUUUAAAUUGAAAUGUGAUUGACGUCGGUUCGGUUUUGUAGUUCAUCCGCAGAACAGAAUCUGUUGAGUACAGUUAAAGUGAUUAUUGAAACCAGAAAAAAAGUAAAACUGUGCUGAAGAAUAUGCAAUUUGAAUCCGACGGAGGAAUUGUAUUAGUUCGCAAUCAACAAACGAGCGGUUAGAAAAUGACCGGAAACUCGAGCCAACUCUUCAGCUUGGCACAAUAAAUCAAUAUUCGUGGCAGAAGGCUGUCAUUUGUGUCGAAGGAAACUACCACCCACCGGUCAUAGUUGGAACUAAAGUGAGAAAGUUUACACUGGUUAAACAACUGGCGCUGUCCGUACGGUGAUGCCCGGAAGCCUGCUAGGAGGAUCAGACGAGCCGCGACCGUGUGAAACGAAAAAGAAAAAACGCAACGCCGUCAAUCUGAGCACUGAGCGCACGAACAGGCGGCGUCAACCAUAAGUUCGCCCGGAACUGGAAUGCUGACGGAAAUGCAUUUUUGCGGUGGCAUCCAACCAACCGACGGCGUCGGCGGAAUGUGAUUUUCCAACGUCCCCGCUUACUGUGGUGGACGCUAAUGAGUUUCAUCCAUCUGGCGAAGGCAAAAACAUUUCCUAUUCAUCCAAGUGAACAGUAGUAGUAAACGGAAUAAUUUAUAUGUCACAAGGCUCGACCGCUCAAAGUGUCACUAAGUGAGAUCGAUUGCGAUAUUCUGCCGAAGGAUAACAUUGUCAGCGAUAAUUGUACCCACUCACUCACAGUAUCAAACGCGUUACCGAAGAAAAAAGUUGAUUUAUUGGAAUUGAAGAAAAGUUUGGUCUUCGAUCAAUACAGCGGAGAAAAAAAUCUCUUCUUCUCGAUGUCGCGCGCAACGCUCACAGUGAAGUGAUUAGGGAUGAUUUUGUGCCAGUGCGAAGGAUAAGUCUCGAGGCAAGAACCAAAGUAUUCUGAAAGGAAAACUUUUAGCCCAUCCGGAUUGUUUUUUUUGUGUGUUAGUUGAUUUGUGUAUGUGUGUGAGAUUGCUGUCAGGACAAGGUCGCUUAGCCGACAAAAGUGAAGCGGAAAGCAGAGAUAGAAUUCAGUUCCGCUUUUCCGUGUUGCCGCAUGGUGGUAAAUGGAAUAAGCUGAACCAAAUCAACUAUCUAGAGAUCAUGCCUCCGAUGCGUGGCCUUCGAACAACUAGAAGCAAUACCAGAAGUGAUAGCAACGUCUCUCGCAUUCAUCGCUUCCAGAAUGCUAAUCAGACUGGCAAGAAAAGAUGCUGUUGGUGCCCCAGUUCCGCCUUCGCUGUUGCCCCAGUCCCAGCAGACAACGACACUCUUGCCAUCGAGGUGUGAGCUCAUCGUUCGCUGUUUCGAGGUGUGACCUAGCGGUUCCAGAAGCAACAGCAGUUAUAGUAACAGUAAUAACAGUAACGGCAGUAGAUGUAGAUGGCUCGAUGCGAACACUUGCACGUGUGUUCCGGUGAUGUUCGCCGCGCCCGAAGGAAACAGGCACAUUAAAUGAAUUAAUCAUAGCGCAGCAGCAAAGAAGGCGAAAUCCUGCUUUUUGCAGGGAGCACCAAACGAAGCAUCUUUGUCAACACUGGCAGCGGCGACGAGCGACUAAAAUCAGCAUGACCUCCCAGGAUGAUUAAUCAUCCGGUGGAAAGAUUUGGUUGAUGAAAAAUAACUUUCACUCCCUCUGUAGCCGUGCCAGAAACUGAAGAUCAGUUUUCAGGUCAAAGCAGGACGGGGAGAACAAAGUAUCUUCACGAUUUACUGUGUCCGGCGAGCCAAAACAAAAAAUAAAGACGAAAGGAACAACAACGGUAUCAUAAAAACCUAAUCAGAAAGGCUCUCCCAGGAGGGUCACCAAGCAAGCUACAAAGACAAACAAACACACACACACACACACAAAAGCAACUGUUAAGCUUACAGAGCAAAAGCACCGGAAAACGACAAAACUGCACUCUCCCACGAUUCAACGACAAGCACAACGCGGUCCGAUACUCGUGCGAAAUUUCAGUGGGAUAGCCACAUCAUUCCUAAAGACUGUACGUUGUUGUGGCGAAAUCACGAAAAAAAAACAAACAAGCAGGAAAGCAGCACACCAAACAAAGAAACACUCACACACACUCCAGAUAAGCAAGCAAACAAACAAAAACCAAGUGAACGGGAAACAUCUAAAGCGUUCUGAAAAUGAAUCUUAUGAACAUGGACUCGGAGAACCGAGUGGUUCUCAACGUCGGUGGCAUCCGGCACGAGACGUACAAGGCCACACUGAAGAAGAUUCCGGCGACCCGACUGUCCCGGCUGACGGAGGCCCUCGGGAACUAUGACCCGGUGCUAAACGAGUACUUCUUCGACCGGCAUCCGGGGGUGUUUGCCCAGGUGCUCAACUACUAUCGAACGGGAAAGCUUCACUACCCGACCGAUGUCUGUGGGCCACUGUUCGAGGAAGAGCUGUCCUUUUGGGGCUUGGAUUCCAACCAAGUAGAACCAUGCUGCUGGAUGACGUACACUCAGCACCGGAACACGCAAGAAACGUUGGCUGUUUUAGAUAGGCUAGAUUUAGAUACCGACAAACCAUCCGACGAGGAGACGGCGAAAAAGUUCGGCUUCGAAGACGCUUACAACAAGGGCAAGGUGAGCUGGUGGCAGCACCUGAAACCGCAGAUCUGGUCAUUGUUCGACGAACCGUACAGUUCCAAUGCCGCCAAGAUAAUCGGCAUCAUAUCAGUUUUCUUCAUCUGCGUAUCGAUCAUAUCAUUUUGCCUGAAGACGCAUCCGGACAUGCGAGUGCCGUACAUCCGCAACAUCACGGUGAAGACGGCUAGCCAAAACACCUCCUGGGUGCUGGAAAAGACGCAAACGAAUGCUCACGUCGCAUUCUUCUAUAUCGAAUGUGUCUGCAACGCUUGGUUCACCUUCGAAAUAAUGGUUCGCUUCAUCUCGUCACCGAGCAAACUUAGGUUUAUAAUGUCAUCUGUAAAUAUCAUCGAUUACAUCGCAACGUUGAGUUUUUUCAUCGAUUUGAUACUGCAGCGGUUCGCAUCUCACCUGGAGAACGCCGACAUCCUGGAGUUCUUCUCCAUCAUCCGUAUCAUGCGAUUGUUCAAACUGACGCGUCACUCGUCCGGGCUGAAGAUUCUCAUUCAAACUUUUCGGGCGUCGGCCAAGGAGCUGACACUGUUGGUGUUUUUCCUAGUUCUAGGUAUCGUGAUAUUCGCCAGUCUGGUUUACUACGCCGAGCGGAUACAGAUCAAUCCGCACAACGAUUUUAACAGCAUACCACUGGGACUGUGGUGGGCUCUGGUGACGAUGACCACCGUCGGGUACGGCGACAUGACACCGAAGACCUACAUCGGCAUGUUCGUCGGUGCCCUGUGCGCCCUGGCCGGUGUGCUAACGAUUGCCCUCCCCGUUCCCGUCAUCGUGAGCAACUUCACGAUGUACUACUCGCACACUCAGGCUCGUGCCAAGCUGCCCAAACGGAGGCGCCGGGUUUGCCCGGUCGAGCUUUCCCGACCACCGAGGCUGCCAGGUCAAGGUGGUCCCGGAGCGUGCGUGAAUACCGGAUCCGGCAAGCUUCCCUCUUCCAAUGCGCCCAGCACCGGAAGCAUGGAUCAAACCAUCAGACGCAUGAACGCCAACCGCACCAUUUCGAAGGACGUUAUCCUGCCAAAGAUGGCAUGAUGGGACGACAAGCUUUAGAUAUUCCGAGCGUGUGAGCGUGGCGAAAUGUUUGGUAUUGUUGCUGCUGCUGCUGCUGCCGCUGACGCUGGUCCUCUACUUUUGCCGCUGCCGAUUAUGAUCUGUUCGAAUAUCAUACCAUUGUGGGUGCGUGAUAAAAGAAAAAUGUGUUCACUCACUCCCACGCAGCAUCGUGGGAAGCAGCUCCCAGAAAAUAAAAAAAGAAAAAGAAAACAAAUCAAAUCAGCCCAAGCGGAAUAGCGAUCAAUACUUCCCGGCACUUAAUGGCAAAUGUGUUUCCUUCAAAAUUGAUCGGUAUCCUUCCAAGUCACGUUCUCGCUUACACACACUCUUGAGACUGCGUGAGAUAUCCUAACAUCAACGUAUCAAAUGGGUACGUGUUUCAUCGAUGCAAUGCGACAGGAAAUAUAUAUAUCCAGUCGGUUUCGAAGAAAGCCUCACCAGACUUUUCCCAGUUGAAUCUUUCACUGAUAUGACGAAAAAUGCGGCACAAUGCUUCGAAAAACUGCCGGCACAUUCAAACAACAAUGAAGCGUGUUACGCCAUUAUAUUUCACGCUGUUGAAGAUAAACGAACACCGAGAAAAAAAAACAGACCGGCUAAGGAGGCUGCCGAAGGAUUCUUUCGCGGUCGUGAAAGCAGACAUUCCCUGGGAGCAACGCCGAAAUUGAACCUAUCACGUGCAACCAGCUUACCCGCACAUUACAUGCCACCAGAGACAGAAACCAAAGACCCAGUCGGUAACGUUUGAGACGAUCUGAUAAGUGUGGUUCCACUGGAUGACAGGUUAUCAGUUCCGGUGGUAACCAUAGAAUCCCAAGCCAACGCCGCUUCUCUAGCCAUUCCGGAUCUACGACGAUCGUCGGUUGGUAAACCCAAAGAACGGAAGUUGAAAAACAGUUAAAACAUGAUGACAGCUCCAGCAACCAACAAAAUCCAGAAAAAAACAGUAGGCCGGCCACAUUGUAGCGGAACAUUGUAAAACAAAGGAAACAUUUAAAUUGUCAAACCAGCAAACGAAGUAACUGAAUAAAACUAACCAGGGCCAUCUCCUCCAGUGUUUGAACGUGUUUGUUUCCGUGGAAACCGUGGGACUAAAAUGCAUUUUGCCUUCGCAUUUUUUUCGAUUGACUACCUGUGUUAGCUUUUCUAAUCAAAGGAAAAAUAAAAUCCGACAGCUUAGAUAUUUUAGAACCAGUUUGUAAGAGAUGAUUACUGAUAAGGAUUAGGAAAAAAACAAAGCUUUGUUCUAUAAAGUUGAUUACCUUAAGCUCGAUGAAGCAGCGUUAAGUUUUAACACAUACACACACAAACAUAAACACAAACAAAACAAGAACUCCUGUUAAGUGUUCUCGAUGUUGACAAUUACGAGAAGUGAUGUUUUGGUUUCAGCCAUUUUCUUUCCUAUAUGACAGAUUAAACACAAUAACUACGCUUAUUACUAAAUGAAAAAAGUACUGUACAGUUAUUAAAUCGACAGUGGAAUAUGAUCAACAAACAAGUAAGACAUAAUUGUAAAUAAUCAACCAGAAACUAACUAAAUUUGAAGUGUAAUACCAACAAAAAAAAAUCAAGCAAACACAAUUGUAUAUUUUAGAAAGAGGCAAAUCGAAAAGUGAUAUCAAGUUAUUUUAAAACAAAAUAAAAAAAUUGAAACUCUAUAAUACUGAUUGCAUCAUCGAAUCGAAUUGGUAUGAAAAAUUCAAUUUUUAAGUUUCUUCGUCAGUUCAAAGCUCUAUUCUUUCGAAAUAAGAAAAAAAACAAAAGGCUCCAACGCUAUAGUGUUUAAAGAGAAACUCUAUCGACGACCUGUAAAUAAAGACAACUGUUAGUAAAACUCUACAAUUGUA